rnacentral:rRNA from 1 species
UGGGGAAUCGUUAGACAAUGGGGGAAACCCUGGAUCUAGCCAUGCCGCGUGAGCGAUGAAGGCCUUAGGGUUGUAAAGCUCUUUUCAGCUGGGAAGAUAAAUGACGGUACCAGCAGAAGAAGCCCCGGCUAACUCCGUGCCAGCAGCCGCGGUAAUACGGAGGGGGCUAGCGUUGUUCGGAAUUACUGGGCGUAAAGCGCACGUAGGCGGAUUAGUCAGUCAGAGGUGAAAUCCCAGGGCUCAACCCUGGAACUGCCUUUGAUACUGCUAGUCUUGAGGUCGAGAGAGGUGAGUGGAAUUCCCGAGUGUAGAGGUGAAAUUCGUAGAUAUUCGGAGGGACACCAGUGGCGAAGGCGGCUCACUGGCUCGAUACUGACGCUGAGGUGCGAAAGCGUGGGGNGCAAAACAGGAUUAGAUACCCUGGUAGUCCACGCCGUAAACGAUGAUGCCAGUCGU